rnacentral:rRNA from 1 species
AAAAUUUUUAAAUAAAAAUAUUUAAUGGGGGUUAAAGUAUUUUUAUAGAAAAAAUUAAAUAAUUUAAAGUAAAUUAGUAUUGUUAAAGAAUUUUGAAAUAAUUGAAAUAUAAAAUUAUAAUAAAGUAAUUUUAAUUUAAUGUAUCUUGUGUAUCAGAGUUUAUUAAAAAAUAUUUAUAAAAAAAAAAUUCUCGAAUUUAAAAGAGAUAAUUAAUUAUUAAAGUUAUUGUAGCAUAAAUAUUUUAAAUAAUUAAUUGGAAAUGAAAUGUUAAUCGUUUUUAAAUAUAUCUAGUUUUUUUAGAAAAAAUUUUAAUUUUAUAUUAAUUUUUUAAAAUAAUUAAUUAAUUAAUUAUUUUAAAAAUUAAUAUUAUAUUUUAAGGGAUAAGCUUUAAUUUAAAUUUAUAUAAAUAUUUUUGAUUUAAUUUGAAUUUUAUAUAAUUUAUAUUGUUAAAAAAUUUUAAUUUAUUAUAAAUAAUUUCAUUUAAAAUAAAAUUUAAUAUAAUUUUAUAUAUUUAUAAAGAAAAAUUUUUUAAUUAAAAAAUAAUUAUUAUAAUGAUAAAAUUAGUAUAUAAAAUUAAAAUUAAAAAUUAAUUUUUUAAUAAAAUUAAUUAAAAGGAAUUCGGCAAAAAUUUAUAUUCACUUGUUUAUCAAAAACAUGUCUUUUUGAAAAUAAUAUAAAGUCUAAUCUGCCCACUGAUUUUAUAAAUUGAAGGGCUGCAGUAUUUUGACUGUACAAAGGUAGCAUAAUCAUUAGUCAUUUAAUUGAUGACUUGUAUGAAAGAUUGGAUGAAAUAUAAUCUGUCUCUUAAUUAUAUAUAUAUAGAAUUUAAUUUUUUAAUUAAAAAGUUAAAAUAAGUUAAAAAGACGAGAAGACCCUAUAGAGUUUUAUAAAUAAGUUAAUUAAGGUUAUUUAUAAAAAAAUAUUAAAAUUAAUUUAUUUAUUUUGUUGGGGUGACAGAAAAAUAAAUAAAACUUUUUUUAUAUAAAAACAUAUAUAAAUGAUUAAGUGAUCCAUUAAUAUUGAUUAAAAGAAAAAAUUACCUUAGGGAUAACAGCGUAAUUUUUUUUUUUAGUUCAUAUAAGAAAAAGAGUUUGCGACCUCGAUGUUGGAUUAAGAUAAAAUUUAAAUGUAGAAGUUUAAAAUUUUUGAUCUGUUCGAUCAUUAAAAUCUUACAUGAUCUGAGUUCAAACCGGUGUAAGCCAGGUUGGUUUCUAUCUUUUAAAAAUUAAAAUAUUUUAGUACGAAAGGAUUAAAUAUUUAAAUUAAAUUUAUUUUGAUGAAUUUUAAUAAUU